rnacentral:lncRNA from 1 species
CCUGGCUCUUUCACAGGGGGCAUUGUGUCAUAUUGCUGGGCCCCACACAUAGGUUAUGUGAGUCUCCUGCCUGGGCCCUGCCCAUGUAGGCCAUUGUGACAUAUUGCUGGGUCCAACACCCAGGUGAUGUAACUCCACUGCCUCGGUCCUGCCUACAGCGGACAUUGUGAUAUAACCCUGCACCCAUCACACAGGAGGAGAUUGUAACGUAUCCCUAAUUGAGCACCCAGGUGGUGUGACACUUCUGCCCUGUCCCUGCCCUCAGAGGAGAUUCUGACAUAUCACUGCCCCAAAAUGCAGCACCUGAGUAAUUUGACUCUCCUGCCUGGACCCAGUGUACAGAUGGGAUUGUGCUUCAUUGCUGGACCCAGCAUUUAGGCCCACUACCUAUGAGAUUGCAUGCUCCUGCCUGGGCUGUGCCCACAGUGACCUUGUGACAUAUAUCUGCAUCCAUGACCUAAAAGAUGUGACACUUCUUGCCUGCAACCUGCCCUGCACAGGAAAGAUUGCGACUUCUCCCUGGAAGCAGACACCAGGGGUCAUCACUCCCGUGGAUGAUCAAAGCUACUCCGGGGGCUGAGGCAGGAGAAUCGCUUGAACUCGGGAAGCAGAAGUUGCAGUGAGCCAAGGUCGCACCACUGCACUCCAGCCCAGGCGACAUUGUGAGACUCCAUCUCAAAAAAAAAAGAAAAAAAGUGUACUAACAAGACCCAGCACACAGAGGAGACUUUUACCAUUAUAUGAACACCCAUCAAACAGUACACAUCAUCAUUGUGAGUUCUGAAUCUCACACAUAGAGGAAGUCAAAGGUGGAAAAAUUGACUCUCAUAUUUGGAUCCAGUCCACAGGUUCUGCUAGCAAGGAAGACUGAGACAUAUUGUGGGGCUCUACGCCAAUGUGACAUUACUGUUCUGCCUUGGCCUGCACCUGAAAAGGCAUUGUGACAUAUUGCUGGGCCCAGCAACAAGGUGGCAUGAGUCUUCCGUAUGGACCCUGACAACAGAGCAUUGUGACAUAUCUUUAAGAGCAUCAACUAUUUGAUGUGACUCUCCUUUUCUACGAAGGCUUUCCUCAUAUGAGAGAUUGUGACACAUCUUCUGGCACAGAAAUCAAGUGAUGUGUUUCUCCUGCCUGAGCUUUGCUCAUAGGGAGCAUUGUGACAUAUCUCUGGUCUCAGCACCCAGGUGUGAUUUUGACGCACACUUCUGCCCAGCACCUGAGUAAUGUGAUUCUUCAGAAUUGGCCCGGCCCACAAAUAGGAUUGUGCCACACUGCUGCACCCAGCGCCUAAGUGAUGUAACUCUAUUCUUCUGCCUUGGUGCUACUCGAAAAAGACAUUGUAACAUAUCUCAGAGCCUUACACCCAGGUAAUGUGAGUCUCCUCUUCUGCCUUGCUGCUGCACACAGAAGCAGAAUAGGUACAGGAUUGUUAAUCUCAUCUUGGAUCUUUCUGCACAUGUGAUUGUGACACAUGCCUCUGUGUAGAACCUGAGUGAGUUUACUCUCCUGCCUGGAUUUAACCCAUAGAUGGAAUCGUGACAUAUCACUGUACCAGAAACUAGGUGAUGUGACUCUAUUUUCUUGCCUCUGUGUUUUUAUAUGGGGCAUCGUGACAUAUCACUGGGCCUUGCACCCAAGUGAUGGGAGUUUUCUCUCCUGCUUUGGUGCCGUCCACAAUGAAAAUUGUGAAAUAUUGCUGCCCUCCCCACUAGGUUAUGUUACUCUCCUGCCUCUGCUUUGCCCACAUGGGUCACUGUGACAUAUUGCUGGGUCUAAAACCCAGGUAAUGUCACUCUCUUGUUUGGGUUCUGCCUGCAGGAGCCAUUGUCACAUAUCUCUGUGCUCAUCACCCAGGUAAUAUGACUCCCUUUUACUGCUUAGUUCCUUCUCACAAAACAACUUGUGACAUAUUGCUAGGCCCAAUACACCUACUUGGUGUAACUCUUCUUUUCUUUUCUUUCCUUUUUUUUUUUUUUUUUUUCGAGAUGGAGUCUCACUCUGUUGCCCAGGCUGGAGUGCAGCGGCAUGAUUUCAGCUCACUACAGCCUCUGCCUCCUAGGUUGAAGCGAUUGUCCUGACUUAGCCUCCCAAGUAGCUGGGAUUAAAGGCAUGUGCCACCACGCCCGGCUAAUUUUUGUAUUUAUAGUAGAGACAGUGUUUCGCCAUGUUGGCUAGGCUGGUUUCAAACUUCUAACCUCAGGUGAUCCUCCUGCCUCGGCCUCCCAAAGUACUGGAAUUACAGGCAUGAGCCACUGCACCUGGCCUGAUUCUUCUCUUCUUUCUAGGUUUCAACUGCAGCAGAGAUUGUAACAAACCACUGGGCCCAGCCGCAUAAUGGUGUUACUCUUUUGCCUUGGGCCUGCCCUCAGAAGGCACUGUCACAUAUUCAUGGGCCCAACGCCAAGGUGAUAUGUGUCUCCAGCCUGGACCCUGCCCACAGGGGGCAUUGUGACAUAUCUCUUGGCCCAUCAGAUGUUUGAUGUUAUCCCCUCCCCUCUUCUACCCUGUGUUUGCCUAUAAAAGACACAGUCAUAUGUUCCUGGGCCCAGCACCUAGGUGUUGUCUUACUGGAAUGUGUCCACAUGGGGAUUGUGAUAUGUCACGUGGCCCAGUACUUAACUUGAUGUGACUCUCCUCUCAUGCCUAGGCCUUGUAGAGAAUCCCCUUCCCCUUUUGUUUUCCUUUUUUUCUUUGCAGAUCCAGGAGAUAAUCAACUAAGAGCCAGGCACCCGUUUAGGUCUAAUAAGAAACAUUUUACAAACUGC